rnacentral:tRNA from 1 species
ACCUGGCUGGCUUAGUCAGUAGAGCAUGCGACUCUUGAUCUCAUGGUUGUGAGAUCAAGCCCCAUGUUGGGCA